AUGGCCGUCUCGCCUCUUGCACUCGUGCUCCUCCUCCUCGCCUUCGCCGUGUCUCUCUUGUACAUCCUCCGUAGGCCCGCCCCUCUGCGCAGCGGCAGCGAUGGAGGACGGAGGCAUCUUCCGCCGUCACCGCGCGGCCUCCCGCUGCUCGGCCACCUACAUCUCCUCGGCUCGUUGCCGCACCGGGCCCUGCGGUCCCUGGCCGCCGCACACGGCCCGGUCCUGCUGCUCCGGCUCGGCCGCGUGCCCGCCGUGGUCGUGUCCUCGCCGGCCGCCGCGGAGGAGGUGAUGAGGGCCCGCGACCUGGCCUUCGCGAGCCGGCCCCGGAGCGCCAUGGCCGACCGGCUCCUCUACGGGCGCGACGUAGCGUUCGCGCCCUACGGCGAGUACUGGCGCCAGGCGCGCCGCGUGUGCGUGGUCCACCUCCUCAGCCCGCUCCGCAUCCUCUCCUUCCGCGGCGUCCGGGAGGAGGAGGCCGCCGCGCUGGUCGAGCGCGUCCGCGGAGCGGCGGCGGGCGGCGCCGCUGUGGACCUGUGUGAGCUCCUCGUCGCCUACGCCAACACGGUGGUCUCGCGCGCCGCGUUCGGGGACGACAGCGCGCGCGGCCUGUAUGAGGAAGGCAACAAGGAACGCGAGCUGAGGAAGGUGUUCAACGACUUCCAGGAGCUGCUCGGCACGGCGCCUCUGGGGGAGCUCCUGCCGUGGCUGGGGUGGUUGGACGCCGUGAGGGGGAUGGAGGGGAAGAUCAGACGGACGUUCAAGGCGCUCGACGGUGUGCUCGAGAAGGUGAUCGGCGACCACCGCCGCCGGCGUCAAGCCGGCCAGCAGACGGGAGAUGACGGCGGCGAUCACAGGGAUUUCGUGGACGUGUUGUUGGACGUGAGCGAUACUGAUGACGAAGCUGGCAUGCGUCUCAGCACGACCGAAAUCAAGGCCAUCAUUUUGGACAUGUUCGCGGCGGGCACGGACACGACGAGCACGGCAAUGGAGUGGGCCAUGGCGGAGGUCAUCACGCACCCAGACAGCAUGCGUAAGCUCCAGGACGAGCUCAGGGCGGCCGUCGGUGGCUCCGGGCACGUCAUCACCGAGGACCACAUCGACAAGCUGCACUACCUCAAGGCGGUGGUCAAGGAGACGCUACGCCUGCACCCACCGAUCCCGCUCCUCGUGCCCCGAGAGCCACAAGACGACGCCGAGAUACUCGGCCACCACGUCCCGGCGGGCACGCGGGUGGUCAUCAACGCGUGGGCCGUCGGCCGGGACCCGGCGGCGUGGGAGCGCGCCGAGGAGUUCGUACCGGAGAGGUUUCUCGACGGCGCGGUGGACUACAAGGGGCAGGACUUCCAGCUGAUACCGUUCGGUGCUGGGCGGCGGGGGUGCCCCGGGGUCGGAUUCGCCGCGGCGACCGUUGAGAUGGCGCUGGCGAGUUUGAUGUACCAUUUCGACUGGGAGCCGGCCGGGGCGUCGCUGGACAUGCGCGAGGUGAACGGGCUCGCCGUGCAUCUCAAGUCCGGCCUGCCGCUUGUCGCUAAACUGCGGUUUCGUUAG
rnacentral:rRNA from 1 species